AAUAGAUACCCAGGUAGUCCACGCCGUAAACGAUGAGUGCUAAGUGUUAGAGGGUUUCCGCCCUUUAGUGCUGCAGCUAACGCAUUAAGCACUCCGCCUGGGGAGUACGGUCGCAAGACUGAAACUCAAAGGAAUUGACGGGGGCCCGCACAAGCGGUGGAGCAUGUGGUUUAAUUCGAAGCAACGCGAAGAACCUUACCAGGUCUUGACAUCCUCUGACAACUCUAGAGAUAGAGCGUUCCCCUUCGGGGGACAGAGUGACAGGUGGUGCAUGGUUGUCGUCAGCUCGUGUCGUGAGAUGUUGGGUUAAGUCCCGCAACGAGCGCAACCCUUGAUCUUAGUUGCCAGCAUUCAGUUGGGCACUCUAAGGUGACUGCCGGUGACAAACCGGAGGAAGGUGGGGAUGACGUCAAAUCAUCAUGCCCCUUAUGACCUGGGCUACACACGUGCUACAAUGGAUGGUACAAAGGGCUGCAAGACCGCGAGGUCAAGCCAAUCCCAUAAAACCAUUCUCAGUUCGGAUUGGUA
rnacentral:rRNA from 1 species